rnacentral:rRNA from 1 species
CCCGUCACACCAUGGGAGUUGGUUUUACCUUUAAGCCAGUGAGCUAACCUGCAAAGGAGGCAGCUGACCACGGUAGGAUCAGUGACUGGGGUG